rnacentral:tRNA from 1 species
GGACCCGUAGCUCAGCUGGAUAGAGCGUCGCCCUCCGAAGGCGAAGGUCGAAGGUUCGAAUCCUUUCGGGUCCACCA